AUGACAUCGAGCACUAUAGCACCAGAAGCAACAUAUGAUGCAGCAACCACAACUAUUCCUGAUACAAUUUUGACUUCCACUACAAUUUUGACUUCCACAACCACCCCUCCCACAUCUUUGACCGUAGAACCAACAUCAACAACGACUAAAGCAUCAACCACAACCCUGCCUGCCACCCCAACAUCUGCUGAUGCAACAACAUCUUUGGCUACCACAACCACCUUUUCAACAUUCUCAACGGUUGAACCAACGUCGACAACAACUUUGGCUUCCACAAUCACUCCUACAACAUCCUCAACUGUAGCGCCAGUUUCAACAACAACUGAUGGAUCAACAACAACUCUGUCGGACACCACAACAACAACAACUGCUGCAACAAUAGUUUUGGCUUCCACAACCACCCUUUCAACAUUCUCAACGGUUGAACCAACGUCGACAACAACUUUGGCUUCCACUUUCACUCCUACAACAUCCUCACCUAUAGAGCCAGUUUCAACAACAACUGAUGGAUCAACAACAACUCUGUCGGACACCACCACAACAACAACUGAUGCAACAAUAGUUUUGGCUUCCACAACCACAUUUCUAACAUCCUCAACGGUUGAACCAACGUCAACAACAUCUGAUGCAGCAACCACAAGUAUUCCUGAUACAAUUUUGACUUCCACUACAAUUUUGACUUCCACAACCACCCCUCCAACAUCUUUGACAGUAGGACCAACAUCAACAACAACUAAAGAAUCAACCACAACCCUGCCUGACACCCCAACAUCUACUGAUGCAACAACAUCUUUGGCUACCACAACCACCUUUCCAACAUUCUCAACUGUUGAACCAUCGUCAAAAACAAGUGAUGCAUCAAAAACAACUCUGUCUGACACCACAACAUCAACUGAUGCAACAACAAUUUUGGCUUCCACAACCACACCUCCGACAUCGACCACUAUAGCACUAGCAUCGACAUCGGAUGCAGCAACCACAACUACGCCUGACACCACAACAACAAUUGAUACAUCUGAUGCAGCAACUACAAGUAUUCCUGAUACCACGACAAUGAUGGAUGUAACAACAACUUUGGAUUCCACAAUCACUCCUACAACAUCCUCAACUGUAGUGCCAGUAUCAGUUACAACUGAUGCAUCUACAGCAACUAUGUCUGAAACCACAACAACAAUUGAUACAACAACAACUUUGGCUUUCACAACCACUGCUCCAACAUCCUCUAAUAUUGCACCAAUUUCAACAACUGACGCAGCAACCACAACUCUGUCUGACACCACAACAACAACUGAUGCAACAACAAUUUUGGCUUCCACAACCACACCUCUGACAUUGACAACUAUAGCACCAGCAUCAUCAUCUGAUCCAGCAAUCACAACUAUGCCUGACACCACAACAAUAAUUGAUACAACAACAACUUUGGCUCUCACAACCACCGCUCCAACAUCCUCUAAUAUUGCACCAAUGUCAACAACUGAAGCAGCAACCACAACUGUGUCUGACACCACAAAAGCAUCUGAUGCAACAACAACCACCCCUCCAACACCCUCAACCCUAGCACCAGUGUCAAAAACAAAUGAUGCAUCAAAAACAACUCUGUCUGACACUACUAUAACUACUGAUGCAAAUACAAUUUUAGAUUCCACAACUACCACUCUAAAGUCAACCACUGAUGCAUCAACCACAACUCUGACUGACACCACAACAACUACUCGUGCUACAAUUUUGACUUCCAAAACAAUCCCUCCAACAUCUUCGACAGUAGGACCAACGUCAACCACAACUGAUGAAUCAACCACAACUCUGCCUGACACCACAACAUCUACGGAUGCAACCACAUCUUUGGUUACCACAACCACCUUUCCAACAUUCUCAACUGUUAAACCAUCAUCAAAAACAAGUGAUGCAUCAAAAACAACUCUGUCUGACACCACAACAACAACUGAUGCAACAACAGUUUUGACUUCCACAACCACCUUUCCAACAUCCUCAACUUUAACAAAAGCUUAUGCAGCUACCACCAGUAUGCCUGACACAACAACACCUACAGUUAAAACAAUAACUUUGGCUUCCACAACCACCCCAACAUCCUUAACUAUAGCACCAACUCCUGAUGCAGUAACAACAACUUUUCCUGACACUACAAAACCUACUCAUGCAACAACAACUUUGGCUUCCACAACCACUGCUCCAGCAUCCUCAACUGUAGCACAAUUUUUGACAACUGUUGCAGCAACAACAACUAUGCCUGACACUACAAAACCUACUAAUGCAAAAACAAUAUUGGUUUCAACAACCUCCCCUCCAACAUCCUCAACUGUAGCACAAACACUGACAACUCAUGCUACAACCACAACUAUGUCUGACAGCACAACAACUAUUGAUGCAACAACAACUAUGGCUUCCACAAACACCCCUUCAACAUUCUCAACUGCAGUACCAACGUCAACAACUGUAACACCAAUGUCAACAACUGAUGCAGCAACCAUAACUAUGCCUGACACCACAACCACUAUUGAUGCAAUAACAGUUUUGGAUUCCACAACAAUAUCACCAACAUUCUCAGCUGCAGCAAAAAUGCUGACGUCUGAUGCAGCAACCAAAAUGAUGCAUGACAUCACCACAGCUGCUGAUGCAAUAACAUCUUUGGCUUCCACAACCAACCAUCCAACAUCCUCAACUGUAGCACCAGCAUCAGCAACCGCACAUGUGCCAGACACUGCAACAACUAUUGUCAUUGCAGUACCAACAUCGACAACUGUGGCACCAGUGUCAAUAACUGAUGAAGCAACAACCAUUAUGCCUAACACCACAAAAACUACUGAUGCAACAACAACUUUGGCUUCCACAACAACUCCUCCAGCAUCUUCAACUGUAGCACAAAUUUUGACAACUGAUGCAGCAGCAACAACCAUGCCUGACACCACAAAAACUACUGAUGCAGAAACAACUUUGGAUUCCACAACCACCCCUCAAGCGUUAACAGGUCAUGCAACAACCCUAACUAUGCCUGAUAUCACAACGAAUAUUUAUGCAACAACAACUUUGGCCAUAACCACCCAUCCAACAUCCUCAACUGUGGCACCAUUGUCAACAACAAAUGUAGCAUCAACCACAAGUAUGCUUGACACCACAGCAACUACUGAUGUGACAGCAACUUUGGCUUCUACAACCACUUCUCCAGAUUCCUCAACAGUGGCAAAAACAUUGACAACUGAUGCAGCAACCAUAACUAUGUCUAACAGCACAACUAUUUAUGCAACUACUUUGGCUUUUAUAACCACCUCUGUAGCAUCCUCAACUGCAGUACCAACAUCGACAACUGAUGGAACAACAACUAUGCCUGACUUUACAACAAUUAUUGAUGCAACAACUUUAGAUAGCACAUCCACCCUUUCAACAUCUUCAACUGUGGCAACAAUGUCAACAAAAACUGAAGUGGCAACCACAAUUCUCUCUGACACCACAGAAACUACUGAUGCAAAAACAAAUUUGGCUUCCAGAACCAUUCCUCAAAUAUCAUCAACUAUAGCACCAGCAUCAUCAACUGAUGCAGCAACCACAACUAUGCCAGACACAACAUCUUUGCUUAGCGCCAGCAUCCCUCCAACAUCCUCAACUGUAGCAUCAUCAGCUGGGUUAGCAACCACACCUAUGCCUGACAACACAAUAGCACUUCGAAAAACAACUACUGGUGCAACAACAACAAUUUUGGCUACCACAAGCACUACUCCAACAUCCUCAAAUGUAGCACCAACAUUGACAACUGAUUCGGCAACUAAAACUAAGCUUGAAUCCUCAACCACUAUUGGUGCAACAACAAGAACCCCUCAAAUAUCCUCAACUAUGCUCAAGCCUUACAUCACAACAAUUAUUGAAACAACAACAAAUUUGGUUACCAAAACCACUAAUCCAACAUCCACAACCACAGCACAGGUGUUGACAAGUGACUCAGCAAUGACAACUAUUGCUGAUGCAACAACAGUACUUCCAACAACAACUAGUCAUGAAACAACAACCUUGGCUAUCACUAGCACCCCUCUAGAGUCCUCAUCUAAUGUAGCAACCACAACUUUGCCUGAACAUACAACACAUACUGGUGCAAAUACAACAACAACAACAACAACAAAUACUAUUGAUGCAGCAGUCACAACUAUGUCUGAAAUAACAACAGUGUUUCCAACAAAUGCUACUAUUGUUGAGACAACUACAACUUUGGUUUCCACAACAACAAACAAUCCUACAACAAUUACUGCGGCUGAAACCACAACAUAUCUUCCAAAUACAGCUACUGGCGAGACAAUAGCAAAUUUGGCCACAUCUCCAACAUCCUUAUCUAUAGCACAAAAGUUGACUGACACAACCAUCCCUUCAACAUCCUCAAAUAUAGCACCAAAAUCAACAACUGAUGCAGCAACCACAACUUCACCUAAAACAACAACAGUACUUUCCAAAACAACUAUUAGUGCAACAGCUUUGGCUGCCAAAAGUACCCCUCCAGUGUCCUCAUCUGUAGCACCAACAUUGACAACUGAUGCAGCAAACGCAACUAUGGCUGAAAAAGAAACAGUUCUUCCAACAAAAACUUUUGGUGCAACAACAAAAUUUGUUCUAGCACCAACAAUGACAUCUGAUGCAACAAUCAGAACUUUGCCUGAAACAUCAAUGGUAUUUUCAAAAACAACUAUUGGUGCAACAACAACAACUUUGACUAUUACAAGUGCUCCUCCAGCAUCCUCAUCUUUUGCACCAACUUUGACUACUGGUGCGGCAGUCACAACUAUUCCUGAAACAAAAAAAGUCCAUCCAGCAACAACUGUUGGUGCAACAACAGCUUUGUCUACAUUAUCUGUUCUAGCACCAAUGUCAACAUCUGAUGCUGCUUCCACAACUAUGGCUGACACCACAACAAAUAUUGAUUCAAAAACAUCAACUUUGACUACCACAAGCACUCCUCCAAUAUCCUCAACUGUAGCACAGUUCUCAAAAUCUGAUGCAGCAACCACUACUAUGCUUGGAACGACAACAGUUCUUCCAACAAAGCCUAUUAAUGCAACACCAACAACUUUGGUUAACACAAGCACCCUUGCAACAUCUUCACUUGUAGAACCAAUGUUGACAGCUGAUGCAGCAACCACAACUAUGGCUGACACCACAACAAUUACUGGUGCAACAACAAAUUUGGCCAACACAAGCACCCCGCCAAUACCAUCAGUUAUACCACCAACGUCAACAUUUGAUGUGGCAGCCAAAACUAUGGCUGACACCACAACAAGUAUUGGUGCAACAGCAACAACUUUGACAACCACAACUAUGGCUGACACAACAACAAAUAUUGGUGCAACAACAGCAAAUUUGGUUAACACAAGCACUCCUCCAACAUCCUCAACUGUAGCACAAUUGUUGACAACUGAUUCAGCAACCACAGCUAUUCCUGAAAUAACAGUGGUACUUCCAACAACGAUUGGUGCAACAACAACAACUUUGGCUACCAGAAGUACCCUUUCAACAUUCUCUACUGUAGCUCCAACAUCAACAACCGAUACACCAACUACAACUAUGCCUGAAAAAACAUCAGCACUUCUAACAAAUGGUAUUAUUGUUGAGGCAACUAAAACUUUGGUUUCCACAACAACAAACAAUCCAACAUCUACUAUGGCUGAAACCACAACAACCCUUCCAGUAACUUUGGCCACACUUCCAACAUCCUUGACUAUAGAACAAUCUUUGGCUGCUACAACCAUCCCUCAAACAUCAUCAAAUAUAGCACCCAUGUUGACAACUGAUAGAGCAACUACAACUUCACCCGAAACAGCAACGAUUCUUUCAGCAACAACAAUUGGUGCAACAACAACAACUCUGGCUGCCAAAAGUACCUCUCCAGCAUCCUCAUCUGUAGCACCAACAACUGAUGCAGCAACCACAACUAUGCCUGAAACAACAACAGUCCUACCAACAACACCUAUUGGUGCAACAACAACUUUGACUACAAGCACCCCUCUAACAUCAUCACUUCUAGAACCAUUGUUGACAUCUGAUGAAGAAACAACAACUGUGCCUAAAACAACAGUUCUUGAAACAACAGUUUUGUUUAACAUAAGCACCCUUGCAACAUAUUCAGUUGCAGCACCAAUGUUGACAACUGAUGCAGUAACCAAAACUAUUGGCGCAACAACAACAAAUAUCGCCAACACAAGCAUCCCUCCAUCAUUCUCAUCUUCAGCACCCUUAUCGACAACUGAAUCAACAUCCACAACUAUGUUUGAAACAACAACAGUACUUCCUGUUACAACUACUAGUGCAACAACAACUUUGGCUGGCACAAAUACACUUCCAACAGCAACUAUAGGUGAGACAACUAUAAUCUUGGGUCUCAAAACCACAGUAGCUCCUCCAACAUUCUCAACUAUCACACAAAACACCACAACUCAUUCAGAAACUACAACUAUGCCUGCAAUUAAUACAAGUAUUGGUGAAAAAACUACAACUUUGACCCCCACAAGCACCACAACCCCUCCAACUUUGCUGGAGGAGUCAGUGACAACAACAUCCAAGAAUAUUCAUCCAGCAAGCACAACAAUGUCUGAGAUGAAAAUUACUACCUUCGGUGCAUUAAAAACAGAUAUAACUGAUUCAACAACCACACCUAAUUCUAAAAUCACAACAACUAGUAGUGAAACAAUUACAACCAGAAUGUCCUCCUCAACAUUGUUGGAAGAGCCAACAACAGCACAAUCACAAGCUAUAUCUAAUUUAAAUACAACAACAGUUCCAGUGUUUACAACAACAGCUUUGACUAAUUCUCACACAGAAAAUAAUCCUGCAGUGCACUUCCUAACAUCUACAGCAGUCCUUGGCAAAACAAGCUUACCUCUAAUGAACAGAACUGGUUCAGCACUGGUUACAAGCAAACUGCAGUUUAACUCCUCAUCUCCAGUCCCCAGAGAAACUCAGGUCCUCAGUGUUAUCAAGACUCUUCUCGAAUCCAGAGAGUCACAGCUCAACAAAUCAGUUCAAGUGCUGAAUGUCACCUAUAAAAAUAUCUCAGAGACCUCUUAUGCAAUCAUCUUUACGUUUAACCUGAUUGACAUUAGUAUACCAAAGGACCCUGCAGUAAAGAACAACACCUAUCAGCACCUGCAGAAUGUUAUCAAUAAUAUGUUGAACACACUUCUGAAUGAACCUGGCAGUCAGGUUUUUGAAGCCAAGUCCUCCAAAUUCACGAGCACAGAAAACCACAUUGAGGGCAGUAUGGAAUAUAUCUUCGACAGCAAAGAUCAACCCACCAUUUUGUUGAAGGAGCUUAAUUUACAGAACAGCAUAAUAACAACGACCCUUGCAACACCAGGCACAUCUAAAACCACUAAAGGAACUACAGCUUUGAUUGGGAGGGUGAUUUUUUACAUUCGGCUCAUUUUUAUCACACGGGGCCCCAUACCAAGUGAGAGUCAUGUUCAAAAUUUGGUCAACGUACUGCUGGCCCCACAUCUCAGAGCUAAACAAGACACAGCACAAGCCCUGAAUGAUCCUGUGAGCUAUGUGAAUGCCAGCUAUGAGAAAAUUGCUGAUAAUUCAUAUGCCCUCAAACUUGGCUUUGAGAUCAACAAUCCAUCCAUGGCAGAGAAACUUGAACUCAGGGAUGGCAACUACACAUUCAUUCAAAACUCCAUAAAAAGAAAGCUAAACCAAAUCCUAAGUGACUCUGACACUUCUGUUGAGUUCAACAAAGCCAAUUUCACGAAAAAUUCCAUGGAGGUCAUUGCUGAUAUUGAUUAUAUUUUCCGGCAACAAGACAUCAAGUCACCCAGUGACUUCCUCCAAGAACUUCUCAAAGUUAUGAAUAGCUUAACAACUCCAGCUCCAACAGGGAAUAAAACAACUCAGAAACCUGUACAAACACCAAAUGUGAUUGGGAAGGUGAUUAUUUACAUUCGGCUCAUAUUUAUCACACGGGGCCCUGUACCAAGUGAUGCAAAAAUAUUACAAUUGGCAAACUCUCUGCUGGCCGCACGUUUCAGAAUUAAACGAGAACUAAGGGCACAAAGCUUAGGUACCCCUGUGAGCUUUGUGAAUGUUACUUACACAAAACUUUCUGAUACGUCAUAUUCCCUGAAUUUUGGAUUUGAAAUCAACAAUGUUACCAUGUCUCAGAAACUUGAACUCAGGGAUACAACAUAUAAAUUAAUCCAGGACUCUAUAAAUAAAUUGUUGAACGAGAUCCUAACUGAGCCCACAGCCACUCCAUUUGAGUUCAAAGAUACCAAUUUCACGGGUAAUUCCACCACUAUUCAGGCUGAUGUACAGUAUGUUUUCUCAGAAAACGACAUCCAGAAACCCAGUGCCUUUCUCUAUGCACUUAUUGUGGUUAAUAAUGAGACUAUUACCACUACAACUACACCUGCUGCAACAAGAACCACCUUUUACUCCACAGUGCUGAGCACUACAAUCACAAAUAACAGCACUAGUGCAGCAUGGGUUGUGGCCAUUAUUGUACCCUGUGCUAUUGUCAUCAUCCUCGUACCUUGCUGGAUUCUCCUUUGUUGUUUACUGUGUGGUUGCUGUACAGCAUUAAGAAGACGGUGGUCCAGAAGACGGUCAUACAAUGUACAAUACACCACUCAUAACAGCCUUUUCUAGAGAGCUCGAGACACAUCAGGAACAUUUUCUAACACUAAUGACUAAUUACUUAUAUUACUAAAUCAAACUGUGAUUGUGGUACUUUAUAGUUUACAUUUAACUUUCCAUAAUGAUUAUGAUAUCUUACAGCUUUUAUAAUGCACUAUUUAUUUUAUUGUGCCUGUAUUGCUGGACAGACAGGAUCUUAAAUUGUGAUUAAUGUAAUUUAUUUUCAGAAUUGUUUAAUGGAUAAAAAAAUUGUAUUUACGAUUUCUGUAAGGUUUAAAAUAUUUGCAUGUUAUAAUAUUUUGGGAUUUCCAAAUAAUUAAUUUAUUUGAUAUUACACAUUUCAUUUUAAGGGGCAAUGUUGGUAAUGUUAAACUUAUUUACACUUUAUGCACUUUAGUUCCAUGUAACUCAAAGGAAAAUCCUUGUGUGCUUUACACACAGAUGUAGAUGUAAAACAGCAGCAACAUCAAUCAACAGUCAUUUUAUCUGCAUAAUUUUAGAUCUCGUUUUUAAUGAUCACUUCUGUUCUGACAAGAUUGUCCUGCAGCUGCUGACAGGAUUUUUUUUUUCUUUUUAGUAAGGCAUUACACAAACAGCUUUCUUCACCUUUUAAAUCAAAACAACAUUAAUAAAUUUAAGAACAACUGUAUAUGUAACCA
ensembl:lncRNA